CCUCCUCCUCUCUCUCUCUCUCUCUCUCUCUCUCAUCCCUCCCUCUCUCUGUUUCUCUCCCUUUUUCACACUAUGUCCAACCCCCCCCUCCUCCUCUCUCUCUCAUGUGCCACUCCCUGUCUCUAGCGUUCUGGGAUUAUUGGAGUAGCUGACAUAUAUGCCUCGUUUGUGUUUUGUUUUCGUGGACAGGAUGUUCUUUUCAUGUCCUCAAUAGGUUUGUGGUUAUUUUACUUCUAUAGCUUUUGUUCUGCGUGAACGUCCCUGUAUUCACGACCACAUAAACGGCACCAGGCAUUAUGGUAACACCUUUUACACAAUGCAAGAAUGGAAAGCCCCCCCAUGUCAGGUUUUCUCAGAACUGAACAGAAGGUAUUUGUGAUAAUGGAGCUAGGAAGAAGUGCUUGGUUAUGAAAGGAUAAAACUGGAAGACCAAACAUUUCCCCCAUCAGGGAGACAACGAGACCGCAGUGUUGUGGACAGGAGAUGAAAAACCCAAGCCCUUUCUGAACAGAGAGAAUGGAGAGAAACGGAGAGAAUGAAGAGAACAGAGUGCUCCGGGUAGAAAUGGAGAAAGAGAAACAAAAACACAGCAAACCUCUCCCCAGUCAGGUGAAAGACAGAGAUUCACUGUUUUCUUUUCCUUUGGCAUGAGUCACUCAGGGACAGUCUGGAGGGAUUUAUUUUGGGUCUUGGUAGAUUCAACCUUCAGAACCUUCUGACUGGAUGGAGGAAACUGGGUGUGACGUGUUGGGAGAUGAGCUUGUUACCUUGUGUGCUACUUUGCCCCCUAGAGCCAUCAUAGUCCUGGCCAAAUGUGCUGCUCAUUGGAGAUCACUAAAGGAUCUCCAAUCUGAGCCUCAACAAAGACCAUUGUUCUCCUUUGAGCAAAAGAAACUUUUUUUAUUGAA